rnacentral:tRNA from 2 species
UGUGACAGAAUAGUGUGAUAAAUUUAAGAUUUAUUUAUAAAGAUCAUCUUUCUUUAGAA